UUGCAUCAUUGAUAGAUUUCUAUGCUGGUUGUUUGUGUUAGACCUUGUCAAAUGCCCAUCAUAUUAAACAAUAUCAAAUUAGUCUUAACACCUUAAUCUAUACCAAAUUAAUUUUGAAAAUAAAAGGCAGGCCAUCAAAUCAAAUAUGCUAUAAACUGACCAGCAGUUCUUCUGUCUAAUCCCCAAAGGAUACAGAUAAGACUGCUUGAUCAGAGAUGCUCUAAAGAAAUGAUUGAGACAGCUAGCCUUCCUACAUUGAACUCAUUAA